GAUGAAGAACGUAGUGAAAUGCGAUAAGUAAUGUGAAUUGCAGAAUUCAGUGAAUCAUCGAAUCUUUGAACGCACCUUGCGCCCUUUGGCCAUUCCGAAGGGCAUGCCUGUUUGAGUAUCAUGAACACCUCAACUCUCUAUGGUUUUCCAUGAUGAGCUUGGACUCUGGGGGUUUUGCUGGCUCACAGUCGGCUCCUCUAAAAUGAAUCAGCUUACCAGUGUUUGGUGGGUAUCAUGGGUGUGAUAACUAUCUACGCUUGUGGUUUUUCCACCAGGUAACCUUCAGCAGUGGAGGUUCGCUGGAGCUCAUAGAUGUCUCUCCUCAGUGAGGACAGCCCUUUGAAUGUUUGAUCUCAAAUCAGGUAGGACUACCCGCUGAACUUAAGCAUAUCAAUAAGCGGAGGA
rnacentral:misc_RNA from 1 species